UCCGGGGCUACGAAUCAGGGACUACGUUUACCGACAGUUAUCGUGGUGACGGACGAACAUGGCGACGACUGUGAGGUCGAAUUUCUGUCUCUGGCGAGGACGACUUACUCCAGAGAAGAACAGGUGUCACCGGUUGCUAGUUGUUUGGCUUCGAUGCGGCCCGCUCAUGCGAUCGUUGUAUUCACGAGCAAGGUUUAUCCUUGAAACAUUGGAUGACCUACAGUCUGCUGCUGAGGACAGCGAUGAUUGUGAACGACCUUCACGCAACCGUUGGUGAUUACGCCGAAAGACACAUUGAACACGAACGCCAGGCCGACCACAACCCUGCGGACCUGGAGUGAGGUCCUCACCACCAGGACAGACACGAUCCUUAUGGCUACAGGGACGAGGGUUUAAGACGACAGCGACAGUGAGGGAAAUGUGGUGGAACUGGAAAUUCUACCUCCACCUACAACCCCUCUAGUCGACUUGACCUUGGACACCCCGCCGU